CCCUUAGAUGUUCUGGGCCGCACGCGCGCUACACUGAUGCAUUCAACGAGCCUAUCCUUGACCGACAGGUCCGGGUAAUCUUUGAAUCUGCAUCGUGACGGGGAUAGAUUAUUGCAAUUAUUAAUCUUCAACGAGGAAUGCCUAGUAGGCGCAAGUCAUCAGCUUGCGUCGAUUACGUCCCUGCCCUUUGUACACACCGCCCGUCGCUCCUACCGAUUUGGUGUGCUGGUGAAAUGUUCGGAUCGGCCGUUUGUCGCGGUUUCCGCGUCAUGUGGCUGAGAAGUUCAUUAAACCCUCCCACCUAGAGGAAGGAGAAGUCGUAACA
rnacentral:rRNA from 1 species